UGCAGGAGGUGGCGUUUCUAAGGUCUGCCAAAUUGUCUGAUCGCAAAUUUGGCACACCUAAGGAGCACUCGUUCCC
rnacentral:pre_miRNA from 1 species